UUUUUGCGCUGUUGUAUCAUCUACACUUAUGCACUAUCAAUUAACAAUUCACCGCAAUUAAAAAAGAAUAUAGUGUAUACACAAGUCAGACUUAAAACGUUUAAAAACAGGAAAAGUAAAAUAUUCAUAUAAACAAAAUCGGUUUGAACGAGUCCGUUAAUGAGAGAAAAUAAAAAGGUGCAUCAUCGCUCAUGCCCUUAGCAAAGACUUAAGAGGCGGUAUUUAAUCCAUAACACCUAAAGUGAUAGAAUCAACGAUCCCGGAGGACCAGAAAAAUAAAAAAGAAAAUACUAAAAACAUAUAUCAAAACGGGAAAUGACAUCUCAUAUAAAUACGAUUGGUUUUGUUGAGAAAACAUCUUUACCAUUAAGCACAUAUGUUAAACAUUUACGUGUGUUCAAAUAUAUAAAAGCAAAAAUCAACAAGGCAAAACGACAAUCACGGGACGCAGCUCUUAUGGACAACAAGCCACAGAGGACCACCUUUUAUGUAUCGAUUAACAUGGCGAAUAAUUUAAACAAGUUACAAGUUGAUAGCAUAAUGUUGUUAAUGAAACAGCACGCCCAUUUUAUUGGACGUGUAAUGGAUUUUACAUGCAAUGACCAAAGGAAAUAAAGAUUUUAUUUUGACAUUGGUGUGUUUGAAAUAGGAACGGCAUCAUACAUUUAGAAUUGUAUUAGUUUGAAUAGUAGUAAACGUGGAUUAUACAUAAUGAAAUAAUAAAUGGAAAUGUAUAUUGUAUUAAAAUACAUGUAUCUAUUUGUGUGAUAAACUAUUUAUCUAAAUUUAGGCUGUUACAAAGGAUUAUUUUACUCAUAAAUAUAAUUUUAAGGAUAAGCAUUUGUACACUAAUUUCAGGAAUAUAUACAAUAACUGUAUUAUUUAUGAUGUUGUUUUACACUAUUAUGAUUUUCUUUAAAUAUAUGUU